GUGGGGAAUAUUGGGCAAUGGGGGGAACCCUGACCCAGCAACGCCGCGUGAGGGAAGAAGGUUUUCGGAUCGUAAACCUCUGUCCUAUGUGAAGAGGAAGAGACGGUAGCAUAGGAGGAAGCCCCGGCUAACUACGUGCCAGCAGCCGCGGUAAUACGUAGGGGGCGAGCGUUGUCCGGAAUGAUUGGGCGUAAAGGGCGCGUAGGCGGCCUUUUAAGUCUGAAGUGAAAGUCCUGGUUUUAAGUUGGGAAUUGCUUUGGAUACUGGAAGGCUUGAGUGCAGGAGAGGUAAGUGGAAUUCCCAGUGUAGCGGUGAAAUGCGUAGAGAUUGGGAGGAACACCAGUGGCGAAGGCGACUUACUGGACUGUAACUGACGCUGAGGCGCGAAAGUGUGGGGAGCAAACAGGAUUAGAAACCCUAGUAGUCC
rnacentral:rRNA from 1 species